ensembl:lncRNA
GGGUGCAUUGGGAAAUGGGUGCACAGGGAAAUGGGUGCACGGGGCGGUGGGUGCACAGGGAGAUGGGUGGCCAGGGAGAGGCCGGGCGCCGCUCACCGAUGCAGUGGGUGCCCUGGGUGCUGAGCCAGAAGCCGGGGUGGCAGAGGCAGGUGUAGCCGCCCUGGCGCGGGACGCAGCGCCCGGGGCCGCAGAUCCGCGGGUUCCGCUCGCACACGCUGCCGGCGGCUGCAACCGGGCGCACAUGAGUAACGCAUGCGUGUGCAAACAGGCAGGCGUGCAACCGUGCACACGUGUGCAAAUAGGCACGCAUGCAAACCGCCCACACGUGCAACCACGCAUAUAUUUAGCUGUGCAUGCAUGAGGUGCACGUGUGCAACUGCAGUUGCAUGCAGCUGGGCAUGCCUGCAACGGCGUGCAAAUGUGCACCUGUGUACACAUGUAGCUGUGCACGCACGUAACAUGCACGUGUGUAACUGUGCAUGCCUGUAACUGUGCACAAAUGGGACUUAAUGCAAAAUGCACGCGCGUGUAAAUGCUUGCACAUGUAACUGAGCACACAUGCAACCACACACACAGCCGUGCAAGCAUGCAACCAUGCACAAACGCACGGCCACGUGCACACGUGCGGCUGUGCACACCUGUGCAGAAACGUGCGUGUGCGACGGCGCAGAGCGGAACCCCACACGUGCACAAAAAAAACCACACGCAUGCAGCUGCGCACAGUGCAACCCCGUGCACGUCUGCAGGCAUGCACGUGUGCAACUGUGCACACGCGUGUGCAGCUGUGCACAAGUGCCCCAGCCCUACCUGGUGCCGGACCCUCCGGGCCGGGCGGCGUGGGGAGGGGUCCCAGCAGCCCCAGCGUGGGUCGAGGCACGAUGACAACCUCAGGGGCUGGUGGUGGCACCUCAGGGACGCGCGGUGGCACCUCAGGGACGCGUGGUGGCACCUCAGGGACGCGUUGUGGCACCUCAGGGACA